rnacentral:rRNA from 1 species
UGGGGAAUAUUGCACAAUGGGCGCAAGCCUGAUGCAGCCAUGCCGCGUGUAUGAAGAAGGCCUUCGGGUUGUAAAGUACUUUCAGUCGGGAGGAAGGUGGUAAGGUUAAUAACCUUAUCAAUUGACGUGACCGACAGAAGAAGCACCGGCUAACUCCGUGCCAGCAGCCGCGGUAAUACGGAGGGUGCAAGCGUUAAUCGGAAUUACUGGGCGUAAAGCGCACGCAGGCGGUCUGUCAAGUCGGAUGUGAAAUCCCCGGGCUUAACCUGGGAACUGCAUUCGAAACUGGCAGGCUAGAGUCUUGUAGAGGGGGGUAGAAUUCCAGGUGUAGCGGUGAAAUGCGUAGAGAUCUGGAGGAAUACCGGUGGCGAAGGCGGCCCCCUGGACAAAGACUGACGCUCAGGUGCGAAAGCGUGGGGAGCAAACAGG